UACGUAGGGUGCGAGCGUUGUCCGGAAUUAUUGGGCGUAAAGAGCUUGUAGGCGGUUUGUCGCGUCUGCCGUGAAAAUCCGGGGCUCAACCCCGGACUUGCGGUGGGUACGGGCAGACUAGAGUGUGGUAGGGGAGACUGGAAUUCCUGGUGUAGCGGUGAAAUGCGCAGAUAUCAGGAGGAACACCGAUGGCGAAGGCAGGUCUCUGGGCCGAUACUGACGCUGAGAAGCGAAAGCGUGGGGAGCGAACAGG
rnacentral:rRNA from 1 species